GAGGCUUGCUUGGUACUUUACCAGGGUCUGUAUGUUCUAGUUAAGUGAUACCAGCUGAAGGUCAUAAGGCUCCACAGAAACACUGCCAACUCCUGGUGAUUUUAUGCUUCUCAGGGAGCGGUUCUCCCUUGGGUUGUUAAAGAGGAACUAUAAUUAUUGCUUACUGCAGAAGACGCCACGGUACAGGACAAUGCUAUUCUGUCAACUUCGGAGCGCUGUGAUGUGAGGGUUUGAGGCCUCUGAUCCAAGCACAACGGGUGGUCACGGGACUCCUGCGAACUGUGCCUGUAUGAAGUGAGAAGGAAACCAGUAGGGCUUAUGCCAGUGGUUCUCCUCACCCCACCCAAAACUCUGAAGCUUAUGCCAGAUUGGUACGAAAAGUGAAGGGGCCGAGUCCAUUGAAGAAAACAAGGCAUCGGCUACGUUUGCCGGCACUGCUGGACUGUAGAAAUCUUCGCUUAGAAAACGGGAGACAACUGACUCGAGGUCCCGCUUCAGAAGACAGCACUUCACCAGUGCUCAGGCUGAUUCAGCAAGCAGGUGUUGGCCUGAAGUUCUGUCAGCUUCUCCCGACUCGGAUCCUGACUGUUUGAUAUGGAUGCUUGGUUAAGACCUUCUCCCGUCAACGUAAAACAAGCCUUGUUGAACACCUAUGAAUCCAGCAUAUGGUUAAAAACCUAGCACAUCCAACGCAAAUAUAUAACUAGUCUAGUCCUUUUUUUAGUCCGUGGAAAAGGCCUAUGCUGACAGUCUCUUUAUAAUUGCGCUGUAGGAUUCCUUCAGCAUUUUUGUGGGCUUUUGCUGACUGGAUGGUCUAACGGAGAGAAACUUUGGCCACGAUUUCCUUGCUGUGACUGCAUCGCGGGAGAGAAAAACAAGUGGUGUGCCAGCCAGUGGGGGGGCGGGAAGUUGCUGUGUAAGUUAUUCCAGUGCUGGAUUUUCCCCGCCAUUGUUUAAAGUAAUUUCUCAUCAUCUAUGCGAAGAAUGUAAAGUGGAAAAUUCAGGCCAAGUUGGAAAUGCCACUUACCUGUGACAAUACAGGUAAGUCUACCCUCUGUGUGAGGAACUGUUCCCAGAUUUCGGGAAGGGAAAACAGGUAAAUGUUCAGCUAUGGCUGACGUUAAGCGCCUUGUUCCCAGUUCCUCAUUGCAAACUUUUCUAAGCGAAUUAAUAAACGAAGGGAUUUUUUUAU